rnacentral:rRNA from 1 species
UACGGAGGGUGCGAGCGUUAAUCGGAAUCACUGGGUGUAAAGGGCACGCAGGCGGGCUUUUAAGUGAGAUGUGAAAUCCCCGGGCUUAACCUGGGAAUAGCAUUUCAGACUGGGAGUCUAGAGUACUUUAGGGAGGGGUAGAAUACCACGUGUAGCGGUGAAAUGCGUAGAGAUGUGGAGGAAUACCGAAUGCGAAGGCAGCCCCUUGGGAAUGUACUGACGCUCAUGUGCGAAAGCGUGGGGAUCAAACAGG